UGGGAACGUACCUCUUGGUUCGGAACAACACAGGGAAACUUGUGCUAAUACCGGAUAAGCCCUUACGGGGAAAGAUUUAUCGCCGAGAGAUCGGCCCGCGUCUGAUUAGCUAGUUGGUGAGGUAACGGCUCACCAAUGCGACGAUCAGUAGCUGGUCUGAGAGGAUGAUCAGCCACACUGGGACUGAGACACGGCCCAGACUCCUACGGGAGGCAG
rnacentral:rRNA from 1 species